rnacentral:sRNA from 1 species
AUUAAAUUAGCUGAUAAAUAUAUCAUCAUAAAGGAGUUUUGGGGAUGGGCACAAUUGUUUGUCAAACAUGCGAUGCGACAAUUGCGCAUUUUGAAGAUGAAAAAGUGACAACGCUUUACGGAAAAUGUUCUAAAUGUGAUUGCAGCGACACAAAAGAAGACGAACAAUAGAGAAACGGUCAAGCGAUGGGGGAAGGGGUUUACCGGCGAGCAUGUGAAAGGGGCGCAUGCUCGCCCAUUUUUUU